UACGUAGGGCGCAAGCGUUGUCCGGAAUUAUUGGGCGUAAAGAGCUCGUAGGCGGUCUGUUACGUCUGCUGUGAAAACCCAGGGCUUAACCCUGGGCUUGCAGUGGAUACGGGCAGACUAGAGGCAGGUAGAGGAGAAUGGAAUUCCCGGUGUAGCGGUGAAAUGCGCAGAUAUCGGGAGGAACACCGGUGGCGAAGGCGGUUCUCUGGGCCUGACCUGACGCUGAGGAGCGAAAGCGUGGGGAGCGAACAGG
rnacentral:rRNA from 1 species